CCCUUAGAUGUUCUGGGCCGCACGCGCGCUAACUGAUGAAUUCAACGAGCUCACAACCUAGACCGAAAGGCCCGGGUAAUCUCCGAACUUUCAUCGUGAUGGGGAUAGAUUAUUGCAAUUAUUAAUCUUCAACGAGGAAUUCCUAGUAAGCACGAGUCAUCAGCUCGCGUUGAUUACGUCCCUGCCCUUUGUACACACCGCCCGUCGCUCCUACCGAUUGGAUGGUCCGGUGAAAUCUUCGGAUCCACGGCACGCGGGGUUCGCCUCCGUGUGCCGGGAAAAGUUGAUUAAACCUUAUCAUCUAGAGGAAGGAGAAGUCGUAACA
rnacentral:rRNA from 1 species